CCUACGGGAUGCAGCAGUGGGGAAUAUUGCACAAUGGGCGCAAGCCUGAUGCAGCCAUGCCGCGUGUAUGAAGAAGGCCUUCGGGUUGUAAAGUACUUUCAGCGGGGAGGAAGGGUUGAGUGUUAAUAUCACUCAGCAUUGACGUUACCCGCAGAAGAAGCACCGGCUAACUCCGUGCCAGCAGCCGCGGUAAUACGGAGGGUGCAAGCGUUAAUCGGAAUUACUGGGCGUAAAGCGCACGCAGGCGGUCUGUCAAGUCAGAUGUGAUAUCCCCGGGCUUAACCUGGGAACUGCAUUUGAAACUGGCAGGCUUGAGUCUCGUAGAGGGGGGUAGAAUUCCAGGUGUAGCGGUGAAAUGCGUAGAGAUCUGGAGGAAUACCGGUGGCGAAGGCGGCCCCCUGGACGAAGACUGACGCUCAGGUGCGAAAGCGUGGGGAGCAAACAGGAUUAGAUACCCGGGUAGUC
rnacentral:rRNA from 1 species